rnacentral:rRNA from 1 species
UACGUAGGGCGCAAGCGUUGUCCGGAAUUAUUGGGCGUAAAGAGCUCGUAGGCGGCUUGUCACGUCGGGUGUGAAAGCCCGGGGCUUAACCCCGGGUCUGCAUUCGAUACGGGCAGGCUAGAGUGUGGUAGGGGAGAUCGGAAUCCCUGGUGUAGCGGUGAAAUGCGCAGAUAUCAGGAGGAACACCGGUGGCGAAGGCGGAUCUCUGGGCCAUUACUGACGCUGAGGAGCGAAAGCGUGGGGAGCGAACAGG